rnacentral:snoRNA from 1 species
CAUGAUGAGAUUUAUCUAAUCUUUCGGGUAUGAAAUUCAAUGAUUUCAACUUUUCAACUGA